ensembl:ncRNA lncRNA:CR44332 long non-coding RNA:CR44332
AUAGUAUAUAGAUAUGACUUUCAGUCGGUCCCCGUUAAAUGUGUUGUUAUACGGAACAGUCCUUUCACGUAAACAGCUAUCCCAGGACUCUUGAAGCCAGACGGCGACCUAUGUGUACUCAACGUUACUUUUGUGCUGGAAAUUUGAGAAGUAUAAAUUUUGACAGCCAGCUCACACGGACAGACACACGAGAUUGCCCUGACCAGCAGGAAGCGAGCAAUAAAAAAUGUUACAUGGAUGGCAGGAAGAGCAAACUAACGGACACUUACUGGCACCCACACAGAGACACACUCACUCACACUUAGACGAUGGCUGAGCCAUAACAAAUGCUUGGCCAUACGUCACUCAUACGCCACGUAGCCCGGCAGGAUACGAUGCAGGUGGUAGUAAGUCUUAAGCUGCUGUACAC